UACAGAGGGGGCAAGCGUUGUUCGGAAUUACUGGGCGUAAAGGGCGCGUAGGCGGCCUGUUAAGUCGAACGUGAAAUCCCCGGGCUCAACCCGGGAACUGCGUCCGAUACUGGCAGGCUUGAAUCCGGGAGAGGGAUGCGGAAUUCCAGGUGUAGCGGUGAAAUGCGUAGAUAUCUGGAGGAACACCGGUGGCGGAAGGCGGCAUCCUGGACCGGUAUUGACGCUGAGGCGCGAAAGCCAGGGGAGCAAACGGG
rnacentral:rRNA from 1 species